rnacentral:rRNA from 1 species
GAUGAACGCUAGCGAUAGGCCUAACACAUGCAAGUCGAGGGGCAGCAUAGAGUAGCAAUACUUUGAUGGCGACCGGCGCACGGGUGAGUAACACGUAUGCAACCUACCUACAUCAGGGGAAUAACCCGGAGAAAUUCGGACUAAUACCGCAUAAUACAGGGAUGCCGCAUGGCAAUAUUUGUUAAAGAUUUAUCGGAUGUAGAUGGGCAUGCGUUCCAUUAGCUAGUUGGUAAGGUAACGGCUUACCAAGGCAACGAUGGAUAGGGGAACUGAGAGGUUUGUCCCCCACACUGGAACUGAGACACGGACCAGACUCCUACGGGAGGCAGCAGUGAGGAAUAUUGGUCAAUGGACGAGAGUCUGAACCAGCCAAAUCGCGUGAAGGAAGACUGCCCUACGGGUUGUAAACUUCUUUUGUACAGGAAUAAAAGACAUUACGUGUAAUGUAUUGCAUGUACUGUACGAAUAAGCAUCGGCUAACUCCGUGCCAGCAGCCGCGGUAA